rnacentral:lncRNA from 10 species
CGGGAACUCCUCCUGCGCCAGGGACACAGGGAUCAAGGAGAGAACAGAGUGCAACCCCAUCCCUGCCUGAUCAGUGGGGGUGCCCGUCUUCCCUGCGACGGUUUUGGGGUGGAACAGGAGUGGCUCCUCAGGGGGAAAUGAAAGGAACUGAGGAGCUCCAGUCGUGAGAAGGCCAAUGAAGCAGCCUGAGGGACAGGAGGAAGACAAGAGAACCCAAGGAAUGCACUUCCUGAAUUGAUGGGAGGCCCUGGAUCCAGAGCGGGUGGGAACACAUCUGGAAGGAAGACAGAGGGAAUGAAGCAAAAAUGGGCAAAGGCACCGCCAGUUGGGAAAUGGACCUCCUUGGAUGCUGCAUUGUUUUCUCUGGCCCAGCUCCUGCUUGGGGCCUGAUGUACACCCUGGAUGGUGGCUACAGGUGGGGCACCCUGUGCUGGUGAGUACAGGCUGCUGUGGAGCCCAGAAGCCCCAGGGGACGGCUGGGCUGGGCUGGCUGCCCCAGUUAAAGAGACGUGGCCCCUGGGUCCCAUCCUUUGAGGCAGAAGUACCGCUCCAUCUACUUCCAGGCCUUAUGGGGAGACCUUUUGUAUCUGGACCCAAACAGUAAGAAAGUGCCACAACGCAGAUGAUUUCUGCGUGCUCGGUGAUGAGAAAUGUUUUCUCAGUGGCAUCUGUGAAAGGUGCUGCUGUAUCUUCCGAAUUGUCAAAAUCACACUCUGCUUUGAAAAACAACCCUGACCACCUGGGGGUUAAUUAUAUUUGACCACAUUCAAUACAAUACAAUAAUAAAUUUACCACAUCCAAUAUUUGUAUUAAAAUGUAUGAUUCAUUCAAAAUGAUCCAUGGGUUUUGAUUAUUUUUGAAAGCAGCAGAACACUAUUCUUCAAGUGUUUCUAUAAAAAACUCCAAAAUGCGGGCCGGGUGUGGUGGCUCAUGGUCUAAAAAGCCAUCAGGGAUAAAGGUUUCUCUGAGUGCUGCUAAAAGAAACCAAGACUGGGGCCCAGUGUGGUGGCUCAUGCCUGUAAUCUCAGCACUUUGGGAGGCCAAGGCAGGCUGAUCACUUGAUGUCAGGAGUUCAAGACAAGCCUGGCCAACAUGGAGAAACCCCCCUGCCCCCGUGUCUACUAAAAAAUGCAAAAAUUAGCCAGGUGUGGUGGUGCACACCUGUAAUCCCAGCACACUGGGAGGCCGAGGCAGGUGGAUCACUUGAACCCAGGAGUUCGAGACCAGCCCGGCCAACAUGGUGAAACCCUGUCUCUACUAAACACACCAAAAUUAGUCAGGUGUGGUGGCAUGUGUCUGUAGUCCUAGCUGCUCGGGAGGCUGAGGCAGAAGAAUCACUUGAACCCGGGAGGCAGAGUCUGCAGUGAGGCGAGAUUGCACCACUGCAUUCUAGCAUGGGUGACAGAAUGAGAGCCUGUCUGAAAAAAAAAAAAAAGAAAACAUACAAUGCCUGGAUUUCCUUUAAAAUAAUCCAGGGAAGGGAGAAAGGGUGGAGACUAUAGAUAAGAAAAAACUGCCCAUGAACUGAUACUUGUUGAAGCAGAGUUAAUAGUACAUUAUAUCAUUCUUUCAUAUACUAUUAUUUUGUAUUUUUUGUAUCCAAAAGUUUUCAUAAUAAAGAGUUAAGAUAUAUCAUCUAAAAUCUGAAAGAAUAUGCACAAAAAUGUAGGAAGUCAAUGUGAAAUUACACUAACACAUGAAUACUUUCCUCCUUUUCUUCUUCAUUUUUUUUUUUUAGACGGAGUCUUGCUUUGUCACCCAGGCUGGAGUGUGGUGGCUUGAUCUCGGCUCACUGCAAGCUCCGCCUCCCAGGUUCAAGUGAUUCUCCUGCCUCAGCCUCCCAAGUAUCUGGGACUACAGGCUUGUGCCACCAGGUCUGGCUAAUUUUUUGUAUUUUUAGUAGAGACAGGGUUUCACUGUGUUAGCCAGGCUGAUCUCCAUCUCCUGACCUUGUGAUCUGCCCGCCUCGGCCUCCCAAACUCCUUUUCUUCUUUAUCUGUAGCAAUGAGCAUGCAUAAUCAGAAAGAAAAAUAACGUUUAAAAGUGGGUUUAAAGUCUCUGUACAAGUUGUGGCUAAAAGGGGCACCAAAAGUAGCCACUUGUGGGCAGGCUGCUCCCUCCUCCCUCCGGGAGAAACACAGGUGCUGCUUUGUGCCCUUAGCUCCUGGAGCCUGGGGCUGAGCUGGGAGGGAGUAAAGGGGAGGGGGGUGGCAGGGUGUGUACUGGGGCCUGUAUUCUAUGCUGAGCAGAGUCCCAGCCACUCCUCGUGCAGCUUGUGAGGAAGCCAUUGGUGGUCAUCUUUAACAGGUGGGUAAACUGAGGCUCAGAGAGAUCAGUGGAGUCAUCUGAGAGAAUGUAUGUUGAUGCAUGUUCCCUGCUGGGCACUUCCUCUCUUAUCUAAUCUCUGAGGCCAGCCCUGUGGGGUGGGUAUCAUUCUCCCCAAUUUAUAGAGGAAGAAACAGCACCAGAGAGGGGAAGGGACUCACCCAAAGCAGGGGAUCCCGAGGGCUGGUCUGGAUCCUUUCCCCAAGUGCUUAAUCCCACAGUUCACCGGGCCCUGAAAGGCACUAGGGGCUUCUAUCUUAGUACAGGACACUUCUGCCAAGGUCGGGGCAACGACUUGUGGGGGCAGGAGGCCUGGAUGCUUUGUGAGGGCUCUGCGUUGGCACCAUCAUGAGAUCUGAGCUUUCCCCUCACCUGGGCAACUGGAAUGAGCAAUAGCCAUCCCUGGCUAAGUGGGAUUGUGGCUUGUAAACUGUAAAGUCCUGUGCAAUGUGCAGGGUGGUGGAAUGAGCAUCUGUGUACCGCCCCAGACUGCAGUCUAGUAAGUCACUUGACAUGAGUCACCCUGUCUGAGCCUCACCUGUGAAGGGGCAACAUUAAGCUGAGGGGGGAGGUGGGGGGAAGAAAGGGGACAGCGAAAGGCAAGGAACCCAGCUAAUGGAGUACCGAGACAGCCUCUCCCUCCCACACAGCUCUGCAUCUCCAUCCAGUCCCCCAUCUCCACCCAAAACAGCUCAGUUCCCCAGAGAAGCUCCCUGGAAACCGGGAGGCUGACUUCUUCACCAACUGCAGAACCACCUGAGGCCACCUGGCAGAAUGCGAUCCAGGACUGCACGUGGCAUUCCGCUGCCGUGUCUCAGUGGGAUCCUUCCAUCCAGAACGGCUCCUCCGUCUUUCUCCUCCUCUCAUAAUUUUGACAGUUUUAAAGCAUCCAGGCUAUUUUUGUCUUUCAUAACCUUGACACUCUUGAAGAGUACUGGCCAAUUAUUUUGUAGAAUGUCCUCCAACUUGAGUUUGUCUAGUGCUUUCUCACAAUGAGAAUGAGGUUUUGUGUUUUUGGUGAGAACACCACAGAAGCAGGUUAUACCCUUCCCCAUGCAUUAUAUCAGGAGGCACAUGUGAUAUUGCUGCAUCCCAUUACUGGAGACGUUAACUUUGAGAGAUGAUGUAGCAAAGAUUUCUCCAUUGUAAAAUCCUAUUUUUCCUUCUGAACUUAAUGAGUAUCUUACAAGGAGCUGUCUUGGAGACUAUGUAAAUAUCUUGUUUAUCAUCAUACUUUCACCAACCAAUUUUGGCAUUCAUUGGUGAUUCUUGUCUGCAAUAUUAAUUACCACUGUGUUUUCCAACAGAUGAUUUUUCUACUUUCAUAAUUCCUUCUCCAUUUAUUAAUUGUAAUUCAGUGGUAAGGAAGAGCUGUCCCUUCUCUCCCAAUUACUUAUGCAAUUAUUUCAGUAUAGACUCAUGGAUAUUUAGUUUAUUCUACCAGUGAUAAUCCAUGACCAACAUCAUUUGUAUCAUUGUUCCAACUGUCCCAGGUAUGGCCAAUGUAAGCAUCUUCAAGUCACCCCUUGUGUUUGUUUGAAAUGCCCUUAUUCUAUUUUGAGCACUUCCUUUCUGACAUAAGAUGUUCCAGGAUUAUUUUAUAAUUUCACUGACCCCACCCUGUACUUAAUCAUUUCUCCAAAGAACUCUGCUUCCUUUAUUGAGGGAAUGUAUUUAGAAUCUAAGAUCUGGGUGCUGGAUGUCCUCAUUGUUACUGAGGUGUCACUGUGUCUAGGGCCUCUCAGCAGACAGAGCUAGGGAAUAUGGGUUACCAACUCUGAAACUAUUUUAUGGGUAUUCUGAGAUUGAGCAAAUAAGUAAAUACAUUGUAUUUAGUGGGAGGGAGGCAUCUCACUGUCAAAGAGAGAACUACAAAUAAAAAGGGAAGGGCAAAGUGAACCCUAUUGUGUUAGAUUAGAAUCAGAGGCAUCAGCAUGAGCUCCUGAUUUUUAGUGUAUGUACAGAUUGACAGAUAUAGAAAUAAAUAUGACCUGGCAAUUCCAUUCCUAGGCAUAUACCUAGCAGAAAUCCAUGGUCAUAAAAAAAAACAUGGACAAGAAUGAUCAUGCUGGGAGUGGUGGCUCACGCCUGUAAUCCCAACACUUUGGGAGGCUGAGGCAAGCAGAUUGCUUGAGUCCAGGAGUUUGAGACCAGCCUGGGCAACAUGGCGAAACCCUGUCUCCACUAAAAAUACAAAAAUUAGCUGGGUGUGGUGGUGCAUGCCUGUAGUUCCAGCUACUUGAGAGGCUGAGGUAGGAGGAUGGCUUGAGCCUGGGAGUCAGAGACUGAAGGGAGCCAAGAUUGUACCACUGCACUCCAACCUGGGGAACAGAGUGAGACCCUGAAGAAAGAAAGAGAGAAAGAGAGAAAGAGAAAAGAAAGAAGAAAGAAAGGAAGAAAGAAAGAAAGAAAGAAAGAGAAAGAAAGAAAAAAAGAGAGAAAGAGGAAGAAAAAAAAAGAAUGAUCAUAGGAUCAUAGCUGCACUAUUAUCAUAGUCCUAAGCUGUAAACCACGCAAAUUCCCGUUGACACCAGACUAAAGAAUGAAUGACCGACCACUACAUGCAACAUUAUGGAUGAAAAUACAAUUGCGGAAAGACAUUUUCUCAAAAAAUGCUGUGUGAUACCAUUUAUAUAAAGCACAAACCAGGCAAAUUAAUCCAUGUCACAAGAACUCAGUAUCAAUUUUCUGCAAGAGAAACGAGGGGGUUUCUGAGCUGCUGGUAGUGUUCUGUCAUUUGGUCUGGGUGCUGGUUGCAUUGGUGUGUCUAAUUCUUAAAAUGUAUAUACAUUAUUCAUCAGUAAAAAGUUUUUUAAAAUAUUCAUCUCCUGGCUCUAAGCUUCAUUUUAUCUUCAUUUCAACUCAGCUGCUGCAGGGACCCCAUAAAAUGAAUAGAGUAGGACUAACUUCUAAACCUGCUCUGCUUCUAUUCCCUUCCAGACUAGGAUUGAUAUUUUCCCUCCAGGAUUGAGACUCCUGUUAAAUUUUCUUUUAUUUCCCCUUCUUUUCUUUCUUUCUUUUCUUUCUUUCUUUCUUUUUUUCUUUUUCUUUUUUUUUUUUUUUUGACGGAGUCUCACUCUGUUGCCCAGGCUGGAGUGUAAUGGUGAUCUCGGCUCACUGCAGCCUUCAUCUCCUGGGUUCAAGCGAUUCUCCUGCUUCACCCUCCCAAGUAGUUGGGACCACAGGUGUGUGCCACCAUGCUCAGCUAAUUUUUGUAUUUUUAGUAGAGACGGGGGUUUCACCAUGUUGGCCAGGCUGGUCUCGAACUCCUGACCUAAAAUGAUCUACCCGCCCUGGUCUCCCAAAGUGCUCAUGAUUAAAGGCAUGAGCCACCGUGCCUGGCUUCCCCCUUUUCACAAGUUCGAUUUUUUUCUUUUUCCUGUUCUUUUUGUUUUGUUUCGUUUUUCUUUUCUUUUCUUUUUUCUUCUUUCUUUCUUUUUCUUUUUUCCUUCUUUCUUUCUUUCUUUUUUUUUUUUUCAGGCCUAGGACUCUUGAUCCAGUCCCACCUGCUGGUGUAGGUCAGGAAGAGAUUAUUUUAGCCCCACCCAACUAGGAAGCUGCGUAGAUGUAGGGGAGGAAAGCAACUUGCCAGGGGCUACCCUAGGUAGGAGAUGUGGCUAUAUUCCAGAGUUGUUGAAGGUUAAUACCAGCUAAUGUUCUUUCAGUUACUGCCUUCCAGGUAUUCACAACAAGGAUUAAGGAAGAGAAUUAAACUCUAAUGCAAUAGGCUUCCAUCAUUUGUAAUGAAUUAACUUCCAUUGUCCUCAUUGUUAAAAGAUACAUUUAUUAAAAUGGAUAAAAAUCAUCAGCCUGGAGUGGCUGCUCAUGACUAUAAUAGCAGCAUUUUGGGAGACUGAGGUGGGAAGAUCGCUUAAGGCCAGGGGUUCAAGACCAGCUUGGGCAAUAUAGUGCAACCCCCCUCUACAAAAUAAUAAUAAUAAUAAUAACAAUUAGCCAGGCAUGGUGGCUCAAGUGUGUAGUUCUAGCUACUCAGGAGGCUGAGUCAGAGAACCACUUGAGCCCAGGAGGUCAAGGCUGCAGUGAGCCAAGCUUGCAUCACUGCACUCAAGCCUGGGUAAUAGAGCAAGACCCUGUCUCAAAAAAAAUAAAUAAAUAAAAUAAAAUCAUGACUCUCAAACAGCAGAUUAUAACUGACUCAAAGGAGAAGUCAAAAAAGCUACAUUUGUAUGGAGCAAAGGAAUGUUGAAACAAACGCACCAACAGAGCUCAAGCCAGCUUCUUCCAGGGUGGCAAAGGGAAUUCCACUGAACCUCUACUGGCAG